GGGGGGGGGGGGGGGGGGGGGGGGGGCAGGCGGGGCGGGGGGAGGGGCCCGGCUUGGGGGGGGGGCUCGAGUGGCGAACGGGUGAGUAACACGUGAGUAACCUGCCCUUGACUUUGGGAUAGCUUCAGGAACCUGGGGCUAAUACCGGAUAGGAGCUCCUGCUGCAUGGUGUGGUGUGGAAAGUUUCGGCGGUUGGGGAUGGACUCGCGGCUUAUCAGCUGGUUGGUGGGGUAGUGGCUUACCAAGGAUUUGACGGGUAGCCGGGCUGAGAGGGUGACCGGCCACAUUGGGACUGAGAUACGGCCCAGACUCCUACGGGAGGCAGCAGUGGGGAAUAUUGCACAAUGGGCGGAAGCCUGAUGCAGCAACGCCGCGUGCGGGAUGACGGCCUUCGGGUUGUAAACCGCUUUCGCCUGUGACGAAGCGGGAGUGACGGUAAUGGGUAAAGAAGCACCGGCUAACUACGUG
rnacentral:rRNA from 1 species